GUCAGCUGUGAGUAGCUCCCGUUCUCAGAUUUCUGCUGUAUCUGGAAGGCCGUGGAACAAAUAGAGACAGCGCCGUCCUCCACCUGUCUCCAUUGUUACCUGCACCAGUCAUUACCAGUGUCCCAGAUCCCCACUGUGGUCAUCCUUCUUUGUGCGCAGCAGCAGAGGCAGGUGCUUCCGACUACGGGGGACAGAUCACUGUUGACUCUGGACAAUGGAGGAAAACAGGAGAAGGAGGUCUAAUUCAUGCAUAGACACUUCCAGCCCAGUCCAGCACA